GCUCAUACCAAAAUAAAAACUUAGUUGGUCUUUAAGGUGCUACUGAAGGAAUUUUUUUAUUUUACUUCGACCCAGACCAACACGGCUACCUACCUGUAACCAUUUAGAUAGGAUCACUGUGCAAUAAUGGGGCUGUAGGGCAGGUGGCCUCAUUGAACUGAGAUAAUUGGUAGCCAUGGAUGUAGAAAAUGAUUUAUUCUGCUUUUACAUCUACUGCUUUCUGUACUGGGUGCUGCAAUCUAAAGCAUCUGGAGGGUACCAGCCUCAGGAAGGCUUGCUUGCUGCUGAAAUAAGAUAUUGCAGUUCCACUCAUAAAAUGUUACAUGGUACCAAGAGAUAAAAGGCAACAGAACUGUUCUUCCAAACAAGUUGAGACAUGAGGUUUCCAUGCAUAAUGAUAGCAUUCAACUUGGAAUUGGAGCGAAGUGGGAAUUUGAAUUCUCUAGUUUCUUAGUUCUUCACAUGGGUUCACUUCUGGUCAGUAAAUGUACAUGCUCCUCAGACAAUCUGAAAUAGUUAUAUCUUUGGCUGAAAAAGCAGUGUGUGCUAUAUAACUGGAGACACUGGCUGAGUUUGGACCUUGUACUAACUAAACCAUCGUUUAGCAUGGCUUCCGUCCAGUGUUGUUGAGCUUCAGGUUUGCACUCUGCUGCUCCCUGCAGGUGGAAGGAGUUCAGAAGCUUUGCUUAAAAACUGGCUUCAUUCCUUCAAGCUUACAAAGCGGUUAAUAAUUAACCAGUUUAUUUGAACAAGCCAACUUGACAAUAGAAGAAGCUCAACAAAAGCGUUUAACUGAAACAAGAGUUGAGUUUUGCCUUCUCUGUUUUUAGGGCAUUAGUGCAAUGCAGCAGAUCAUCAGUGUGUUCCCGGCCACCAGGAAGUAAAAUAUUUGCAGAAAGAGACUUGAAAUGCACUCUAUAUAAAGGUUUUUCUCCCUGCUGGUGGUAUGUAGGAAGUGUGCAGCAGGAAUAAAUUUAAGGUGAGGAAAUGAAUAAAAGUCUGGCUGCAUCAUUAUGGUAAUCCACGGAGUAGCUACAGUGUAACACUGAUAUCAUUAUUAUGUCAAGACCUAAGACUGAGACAUGGGAUGUGUCCCAGAUAGCAAAAGGUAAAGAGUCUAGCUUUACUAGCCAAAGGGUAGCCAAUGUGGUGCUCUGAAGAUGUUGCUGGCCAACAUCUCUCAUCACCCUUGAGACCCUGGCCAUGCGCUUUGCAAGGACUAGUUUCUUACUAAGCCAAUGGUUGAUUAUACUUCUAGCAUUCUUCAGGAAAGUUGAAAGGAUUAUCUCAUUGAUGUAUUGGAAAAAUAAAGCACAUUUAUAUGAAGGAAAUGUUGCCAUGGAAUGUGGCUAUAAAUGGGCUCAUGCAGAUUUUUAGAGGUUUCUUAAAUACUCUUGUGCAUUGCAGCACAUAAGUGGGAGGUAAUGCCUACCCAUUUUAAACUGAAUAUUUCAGGGAGUCCUAGAGUUGGAAGGGAUCCUGAGGACCAUCUAGUCCAGCCCCCUGCAAUGCAGGUAUAUGCAGCUGUCCCAUACGGGGAUCAAACAUGCAACCCUGUCGUUAUCAGCACCUUGAUCUAAGCAACCAAGCUAUUUUUCUUCCUGUGUGGCUAUAGUUUUAAGCUAAUCUUUCGGACAUAAAUAGCUUCUUUCAUAAGUAUAUGGAAAGGUUGGAGACACACUAUUUACUCUGGAGGAGGUGCAAAAGGUAUGUACCGUAUGUACCUGAAUAUAAGCCUCACUUUCCCCCCAAAUUCUGACCGUGAAAAGUUAAAGUGCGGCUUAAAUUCGUGACCUUACAAAAAUCUGCUUUUACGAUAUCGCUGCUGAAACAGACAUACAGUAAAAUGGAAUGGGUGUGAGUACCUGCGGAAUUCUAAGGGAGCGGCUUAUAUUCGGGUAUUAUCUUCCCCCCCCCCUUUUCUGCCCCAUGAAUUUUAAAGGUGUGGCUUACAUUUGGGUGUGGCUUAUAUUCAGGCCAGUACGGUAAUAAUACUUGAUUGGGCUAUACUAUAUCUAGUAUGGGGCACAAGCUUCCCUUUCACCUGCUUAAUCUUUACUCAUCCUUUCUGUGCCUCACUGGAGGGUUAAGGGGGCUCAUCUGAACAGAAUUCCUUUUAAAAACUAUUCUGUAUUGCACAAUUAGACACCAGUAAAUUCCUAAGGACUUUAUUUCCUGCAUUGCUGUCAUAGUGGUGUCAAAGUCAAACCCAUGCAAUACGAAAACGCUACUGUGAGCUGUGCUAGGAAUAAACCUGAUGCUUCUUCCCAGUCAUGCAUUUGUACUUUUCAGAGUACCGUACAUUUUUUUGCAGAGGUGUCAAGUGACUGGAGCAAGACAUCUAGAUAUUUCCUUCAUCUCUUUAAAGUGGCUAAGUAAAAAUUGAUUCUUCCCAACAGGCCAAUGAUAUUUCAGCCUCUCCUUGUUUUUAAUGGUGCUUUUUUUCUUUCAAAGUAGAUUGCUUUCAAGUGUCUUAAAAUAAUUUGCUAUGAGAGCAUUUUCUCUAGAGCAAGUAAUAACUGCCUACUGUCCAGUGUCUUAAUCAUGUGUUAUGUGACUUUUAAUCUUGAUCUUGAAUGUAUUUAGCCUCUACAGGGCAGGAUGGUGCAAUUACAAAUGUUUUUCUAUCAUAUUUUAAGGCUUCCUGGAAGCCUUUAUUCUUCUGUCAAGCUCUACUGUACAGGACUUGAAUUCUAUUUAAAAACCUUGCUGCAGCUCAUGUUUUAUAAGCUUGAUGGCAGUGUGGAGAAUAUCUGAAUUGCUUCUCUCUUAAUUUUCCCCCAAACCCAGGUAUGUGGAAGAUUGUGAGAUAUUUUAUCUGCAAGUUUUAUUGAGCAUUGUGUUGACAUCAUUUUAUUAUGUGCCCUGCAUUUGAGAUCAGUUGUUAACACAGUUAAAUAAAUUUUGUUUUAAAAAUAAGUGUUGAGUGAUUGUACCCAAAAAUACUAUUCUCUGGAAAAACAAAAUAACAUCAAAUUUAUUAUGUGUCCUUCACUAGCUAGCCCCCUGGCAGGUUACAAUGAUUUAAAAUUCAGAAUUAAAAACAGUUAAUACAAAUUCAGGUGUCAGAGGCAAAGAGGUCCAUCUUCAUACUCCUAUCUUUAGUCCAAGACUGUAGUAAACCAAAACUGUUACGUACUUUAAACCUUCUGAAUGGCUUGAAGGACCUUCUGAAUCAACUGAAGAUAGCUAAGCUGGUAAUCAAACGAAUGUGUGUCUUCUUCAGUCUGUGUACUUACAAAUUUUGGAGAGUGGGAGAGAACAUUAGCAGAUUACUUUAUAAGGUAACAAACCCAAGAUUGAGCCGAUUUCUUUUUUGCUUUUUAUUCUUUUAACCACCUCCACAGUCACAAUCUGUGUUCAAAAAAGGGAGGGGUGCUAAUCCGCAUUAGUUGUUGAGAACAAACUGGCUAGUUCGCAAUUAUUCUGAGUGGUUUUUCUUUUGUAACAAAUCAGUACCUUAGCACUACAAUUCAAAUAUCUCAAGUGGUAUACUACUACAAGGGUUGCCCCUACUUGUCGGUUAAGAUUUAACUACAACUGGUUUAUUUAUACAAUAUACUAUGGGUUUUUUUCUUAAGUGUGGUGCUGUGCUAUGAAGUCUGAAAACUUGCUUGACUGAGCUGACAGAAUGUUAAUUAAGAUUCCACAUGACAUCAUGGGAGGUAAGUUAUUGGUCUUAGAAUUUUUUGACAUUCAAACUCUGCAAGCUGAAAUGAAAAUCCAGCAACUGAGAGUCUCAAAUGUGCCUAGGGACAGAAGGAGUUGCAACGGCAAAGCAGCUCCAAUAUAAAAAACACACAUUUUUAAAGGGCAGAAAGCUUUCUGACUAUGAGGCAUCUUAAUCUGGUUUCCACAAGUGAACUAGAACCCCUCACAGAAUA